rnacentral:lncRNA from 1 species
AUGUCGCCUGACCUGAAGACCAUUGUGACUCAGUGUUGGCUGAUCUCUGCUCCUCCAAGGGUGAUUCCCCAGCUUGGGGCAAAGCGGAGGGGAGGCCUGCUUCAAAGCCUCUCUCAGCCUGUGGAAAAGCAUAGUCUGGAGUGGGGCGGCUGCCAAGUCCACCACAUGAAUGUUCGUUUUGCUUGGCUUGUGGUCAAGCAACAGCAAAAAAACAGGCCUCCUUCAGCACAUGGAAUAGAAAUGCUGCCCUACUUAUUUCUUACCAACCUGCAGAACUUUGAGCAGAGUUUAUAGUUAACACUUACAUAAUCCAGAAAUUCAAUUCUUGCUGAAAAUGAGAUGGUGAGAAUAAUGGGAUUUUGAUUCAGAAUUUUCUAAAGCAAUAACCCUUAUGAAUUAUAAUAUCUAUAUUUACUAUUCUUCAAAGGAAAGAAAAUUACAUAUUUGGAGCCUUCCGAGACAAUUUUAACUUCUCUUUUCUUGCUGUUUGUGACAAUGUCCUUUCUUCUUAAGUUUGGUCACCUGUGAAUAAUAGAACAGAGGGAUGAAGAGUGUCUUUAUAAUUAUAUACACAAUCUCUAGAACAUCCUUAAACCUGUUGCUCCUGGUUCUCCUAAGAAGAAAAUGUUGGCAUCUCUUAAAAGAAUCAUGUGUGCCAAUCUUCCUAGACAUCUUCUUUUCUUUUUUUAUGAGCCAUAAUCUUUAUUUUCCUAUACACUGAUGUUUUCUAAGCAAAUCUAAUAAAAAUAACGGAAGAGUGAAUAAGAAAUAGGAC